rnacentral:tRNA from 1 species
UGGGGUAUAGCCCAAUGGUAAAGAAUUUGUUUAGCAUGCACGAGGUCCUGGGUUCAAUUCCCAGUACCUUUA